GUUUUCUGGUCUAAUUCCAGCUAUAUUUCUCAUUGGUAAAUUUAGUCACAUGACAUUGCCAGGUAAUAGUGCAGAGUCUGAGCAGGAGAGGCAUUAGCUGCUACAUGCCGUGUGAUUAGCCUACAGCUCUCAAGCUAAUGUACAACUUCCUCCCGCUGUUCUGUGCUUGGAAAAGGAUCGCUUUUUUACAAAAAUGUUCAUGAGAAUGAAGACAACAGUAAAGAUCAUUCAACUUUA